rnacentral:rRNA from 1 species
UACGUAGGGGGCUAGCGUUGUCCGGAAUCAUUGGGCGUAAAGCGCGUGUAGGCGGUCCGGUAAGUCCGCUGUGAAAGUCGGGGGCUCAACCCUCGAAUGCCGGUGGAUACUGUCGGGCUCGAGUGCGGGAGAGGCGAGUGGAAUUCCUGGUGUAGCGGUGAAAUUCGUAGAUAUUCGGAAGAACACCAGUGGCGAAGGCGACUUACUGGACGACUGUUGACGCUGAGGUGCGAAAGCGUGGGGAGCAAACAGG